GACGAACGCUGGCGGCGUGCCUAACACAUGCAAGUCGAACGAGAAUCUUUGGAAUGAUUCUUUCGGGAUGAAUUCCAAAGAGGAAAGUGGCGGACGGGCGAGUAACGCGUGAGUAACCUGCCCAUAAGAGGGGGAUAAUCCAUGGAAACGUGGACUAAUACCGCAUAUUGUAGUUAAGUUGCAUGACUUGAUUAUGAAAGAUUUAUCGCUUAUGGAUGGACUCGCGUCAGGUUAGAUAGUUGGUGAGGUAACGGCUCACCAAGUCAACGAUCUGUAGCCGAACUGAGAGGUUGAUCGGCCGCAUUGGGACUGAGACACGGCCCAGACUCCUACGGGAGGCAGCAGUGGGGAAUAUUGCGCAAUGGGGGCAACCCUGACGCAGCAACGCCGCGUGCAGGAAGAAGGUCUUCGGAUUGUAAACUGUUGUCGCAAGGGAAGAAGACAGUGACGGUACCUUGUGAGAAAGUCACGGCUAACUACGUGCCAGCAGCCGCGGUAAUACGUAGGUGACAGGCGUUGUCCGGAUUUACUGGGUGUAAAGGGCGCGUAGGCGGACUGUCAAGUCAGUCGUGAAAUACCGGGGCUUAACCCCGGGGCUGCGAUUGAAACUGACAGCCUUGAGUAUCGGAGAGGAAAGCGGAAUUCCUAGUGUAGCGGUGAAAUGCGUAGAUAUUAGGAGGAACACCAGUGGCGAAGGCGGCUUUCUGGACGACAACUGACGCUGAGGCGCGAAAGUGUGGGGAGCAAACA
rnacentral:rRNA from 1 species